CCAGGGAACGGCUGGAGCUGUGUCACGGCAGGGUCAGAACAGGACAGGAGUGUUGGAGAUGCUGAGCACAGCAAUCGUUUGGAAUCAACCUCGCCCUGGUGGUGCCUGUGUUUAAACCCCUAAGUUGGAGCAGGACUCAGACCCUCCCACUGACAGACAGAGUCAGAUCAACCCAUCUGCGAGUCGGCUCCCUUGCCUUUCUGGAGCAUCCAGCAGCAGAGCCUGGGAAGGAUUUCUGCCUGUGAUUCUCAGAGAUGGUGUAGUAACCCCCAUUGUGGAAGAGCAUGAGCUUCCAUCAGCACAGACUGGCAUAAGCCAAAGGAAUCUCCAGUGAACCCAACACUUCAUUCCAGAUGUGGCUGAGGGAAGAAAACGUUAUGCAAAGUGCAAGGCUGACACCUGGAGGGACUGUGAGAGGCAGCCGGGGAGCCUGGAGCAGCCAGACAUCCUGCAGCACACAUGGCUGGAUCUUCCAUGUCUAUUUUUAGGAGAAGAAACAUAGAAGCUCUGACUGUGUCACCUAAUUAUUCACUUCCAUGCUCAGGAAUGUCUGGAUCAAAACUUACCUUGCUCAAUUUUGUCUGGACUCUCCUUCCUGCAAAGCAGCCUGGCACCAGCAUGGUGAAGUGCCCAAGUCCAUACCUUCAGGGCUGUGUGUGUGUUCCCAAAGAGAUCAGCAAAGCAUUCAAGUCAAGAAUUAGCUUGCUGCCUUCCAGAGAAUUCAUCAUUUCCAGUUUGCAAGCUUGAAGAGAGAAAUCCAGGAAGCAUCAAUAAAUCUCCUUUGACAGUGGAGUAAAGAGCUGCAAAAGGAGUAACCUGUCAAGGUAAUGUGACUUAAUUUCUCAGAGAAAGAUCCAUUUUUAUAAAUGAAAUAAAAAUGCCAGCAAAGUCAAA